rnacentral:misc_RNA from 1 species
GAUGAAGAACGCAGCGAAAUGCGAUAAGUAAUGUGAAUUGCAGAAUUCAGUGAAUCAUCGAAUCUUUGAACGCACAUUGCGCCCGCCAGUAUUCUGGCGGGCAUGCCUGUUCGAGCGUCAUUUCAACCCUCAGGCCCCCAGUGCCUGGCGUUGGGGAUCGGCGUGGGCGGCGAACGGCUCUCCGGAGCCCGAGCCAAUGCCUGCCGGCCCCGAAAUUCAGUGGCGGUCUCGCUGUAGUCCCCUUCUGCGUAGUAGCACAACUCGCAUUGGAGCUCGGCGGUGGCCAUGCCGUAAAACACCCCACUUCUGAAAGUUGACCUCGGAUCAGGUAGGAAUACCCGCUGAACUUAAGCAUAUCAAUAAGCGGAGGA